GUCUGAUGUGGAUAUGCGGGGCUCCACUCCGUAUUGCGUUGGAAACUGCCAAACUAGAGUACUGGCGAGGUGGGCGGAACUACAAGUGUAGAGGUGAAAUUCGUAGAUAUUUGUAGGAAUGCCGAGAGAGAAGUCAGCUCACUGGACAGAUACUGACACUGAAGCGCGAAAGCAUGGGGAGCAAACA
rnacentral:rRNA from 1 species